AGCAGUGUGGCCUAGAGGACAGAGCAUGGGCCAGGGAGUCAGAGGACCUGGGUUCUAAUCCUAGCUCUGCUA
rnacentral:tRNA from 1 species